AUUGAACGCUGGCGGCAGGCCUAACACAUGCAAGUCGAGCGGAUGAAGGGGGCUUGCUCCUGGUUUCAGUGGCGGACGGGUGAGUAAUGCCUAGGAAUCUGCCUGGCGGGGGUGGGUAACGUCCGGAAACGGGCGCUUAUACCCCGUACAUCUCGUUGAGGAGAGUGGGUGAGCGUUGGACCUCGCCGCAUGAGGUGAGCCUUGGUCGGAUUAGCUAGUUGGUGGGGUAAAGGCCUACCAAGGCGACGAUCCGUAACUGGUCUGAGAGGAUGAGCAGUCACACUGGAAAUGAGACACGGUCCAGACGCCUACGGGAGGCAGCAGUGGCGAAUAUGGGACGAUGGGGGAAAGCAUGAUCGAGCAAUGCGGCAACUGUGAAGAAGGUAUUCGGAGUGUAAAAAAACUUAAGUUGGGAGGAAGAGCAGUAAGUUAAGACCUGGAUGAAUUGACGGUACCAGCAGAAUAAGCAACGGCUAAAUACGUG
rnacentral:rRNA from 1 species